rnacentral:rRNA from 2 species
UAGCGCGGUGGUCCCACCUGACCCCAUGCCGAACUCAGAAGUGAAACGCCGUAGCGCCGAUGGUAGUGUGGGGUUUCCCCAUGCGAGAGUAGGGAACUGCCAGGCA